CCUACGGGUGGCAGCAGUGAGGAAUAUUGGUCAAUGGACGAGAGUCUGAACCAGCCAAGUAGCGUGAAGGAUGACUGCCCUAUGGGUUGUAAACUUCUUUUAUAUGGGAAUAAAACGUUCCAAGGGUGGGAUUUUGUAUGUACCAUAUGACUAAGGAUCGGCUAACUCCGUGCCAGCAGCCGCGGUAAUACGGAGGAGCCGAGCGUUAUCCGGAUUUAUUGGGUUUAAAGGGAGCAUAGGUGGAUUGUUAAGUCAGUUGUGAAAGUUUGCGGCUCAACCGUAAAAUUGAAGUUGAAACUGGCAGUCUUGAGUACAGUAGAGGUGGGCGGAAGUCGUGGUGUAGCGGUGAAAUGCUUAGAUAUCACGAAGAACUCCGAGUGCGAAGGCAGUUCACUGGACUGCAACUGACACUGAGGCUCGAAAGUGUGGGUAUCAAACAGGAUUAGAUACCCGGGUAGUC
rnacentral:rRNA from 1 species